CCCUUAGAUGUCCUGGGCCGCACGCGCGCUACACUGAGUGUCUGAGAUACGAGUCUGCCUGGUCCGGCAAGGUCUAGGUAAUCGCUAAAAGACACAUCAUGCUUGGGAUAGAUUAUUGCAAAUAUUAAUCUUGAACGAGGAAUUCCUAGUAAGCGUAAGUCAACAGCUUGCGUUGAUUACGUCCCUGCCCUUUGUACACACCGCCCGUCGCUACUACUGAUUGGAUGUUUAAGCGAGGUUCUCGAACUGCUAGCGACUUAGCUUCGGUGAGGUCGCAGUGUGGGAAGUGAACCUAACUUUGGUGUCUAGAGGAAGUAAAAGUCGUAACA
rnacentral:rRNA from 1 species